rnacentral:rRNA from 2 species
UACGGAGGAUCCAAGCGUUAUCCGGAAUCAUUGGGUUUAAAGGGUCCGUAGGCGGUUUAAUAAGUCAGUGGUGAAAGCCCAUCGCUCAACGGUGGAACGGCCAUUGAUACUGUUAAACUUGAAUUAUUAGGAAGUAACUAGAAUAUGUAGUGUAGCGGUGAAAUGCUUAGAGAUUACAUGGAAUACCAAUUGCGAAGGCAGGUUACUACUAAUGGAUUGACGCUGAUGGACGAAAGCGUGGGUAGCGAACAGG